UGGGGAAUAUUGGACAAUGGGCGCAAGCCUGAUCCAGCAAUGCCGCGUGUGUGAAGAAGGCCUUCGGGUUGUAAAGCACUUUUAUCAGGAGCGAAACGCUGUCGGCUAAUACCCGGCGGAACUGACGGUACCUGAGGAAUAAGCGCCGGCUAACUUCGUGCCAGCAGCCGCGGUAAUACGAAGGGUGCAAGCGUUAAUCGGAAUUACUGGGCGUAAAGCGUGCGUAGGCGGUUUCUUAAGUCUGCUGUGAAAUCCCCGGGCUCAACCUGGGAAUGGCAGUGGAUACUGGGAGGCUAGAGUGUGUCAGAGGGUGGUGGAAUUCCCGGUGUAGCGGUGAAAUGCGUAGAGAUCGGGAGGAACAUCAGUGGCGAAGGCGGCCACCUGGGACAACACUGACGCUGAGGCACGAAAGCGUGGGGAGCAAACAGGAUUAGAUACCCUGGUAGUCCACGCCCUAAACGAUGCGAACUGGAUGUUGGUCUCAACUCGGAGAUCAGUGUCGAAGCUAACGCGUUAAGUUCGCCGCCUGGGGAGUACGGUCGCAAGACUGAAACUCAAAUGAAUUGACGGGGUCAUAGCUGUUUCCU
rnacentral:rRNA from 1 species